GACAGACCUUUAGGAGAACAGAGCAGACAGACAGACAUUUAGGAGAACAGAACAGAGCAGUCAGACAGACCUUUAGGAGAACAGAGCAGACAGACAGACAGACCUUUAGGAGAACAGAACAGAUAGACAGACAGACCUUUAGGAGAACAGAACAGAGCAGUCAGACCUUUAGGAGAACAGAACAGACAGACAGACCUUUAGGAGAACAGAACAGACAGACAGACCUUUAGGAGACCAGAACAGUGACAUCCGUCCCACCUUAUUCAGAUGGUUUAGAGAGUCACUGUGUUAUUGAGAUGCUACAGUAACUGUGUGUGUGUGUGUGUGUGUGUGUGUGUGUGUGUGUGUGUGUGUGUGUGUGUGUGUGUGUGUUUGUGUGUGUGUGUGUGUGUGUCAGCAUUUCCCUCUGUACCUUUUGACCAGAGGUAGACCCUCCUUAGCCUAAGGAAAGCACUAUCUGAGAAAAUGCAUACAUUGAUAUCACAGUGUGGAGUGUGCGUGUGUAUGUGCCUGUGUGUAUGUGUGUGCAUGUGUGUUUGUGUGUGUGUGUGUGUUUGGGUGAAGCUUUCACUUCUGUGAGGUGUUUCUUAUCAGGAGAGCAGAUCAGAGCAGUCAGACAGACAGACCAUCAGGAGAACAGAACAACAGAUAGACCAUCAGGAGAACAGAGCAGAGAGACAGACCAUCAGGAGAACAGAGCAGUCAGACAGACCAUCAGGAGAACAGAACAGUCAGACAGACAGACCAUCAGGAGAACAGAGCAGAGAGACAGACCAUCAGGAGAACAGAGCAGACAGACAUACCAUCAGGAGAACAGAGCAGACAGACAGACCAUCAGGAGAACAGAGCAGACAGACAGAC
ensembl:lncRNA